UCUACGGGGGGCAACAGUGGGGAAUAUUGCACAAUGGGGGAAACCCUGAUGCAGCGACGCCGCGUGAAGGAAGAAGUAUUUCGGUAUGUAAACUUCUAUCAGCAGGGAAGAAAAUGACGGUACCUGACUAAGAAGCCCCGGCUAACUACGUGCCAGCAGCCGCGGUAAUACGUAGGGGGCAAGCGUUAUCCGGAUUUACUGGGUGUAAAGGGAGCGUAGACGGCAGUGCAAGUCUGGAGUGAAAGGCGGGGGCUCAACCCCCGGACUGCUCUGGAAACUGUACGGCUGGAGUGCAGGAGAGGUAAGUGGAAUUCCUAGUGUAGCGGUGAAAUGCGUAGAUAUCAGGAGGAACACCGGUGGCGAAGGCGGGUUCCUGGACAUUAACUGACGCUGAGGCACGAAGGCCAGGGGAGCGAAAGGGAUUAGAUACCCCUGUAGUC
rnacentral:rRNA from 1 species